CUGUUCAGCACGGCAGCCAAUAUCGUGGAUGAAAAAAGGAAUCGUCGAACUGCAGAGAGAGCAGAAAUGCUCAUAUUCCUCAAGAAGAACCUGCCGAUGUAAGAUUUGUUGAACACUACAUCACUUCCUCAGAGUCAACUUUGAGACAUUCAAUUUUUGUUUUCUUUUAAAAAAUAGUUAGACUCUGGUGUUUAGUUUAUUCCAGGUCAUCUUAAGUGCUGUUCUGAUGCACACUGUUUUAAAACUUAUUGUGUGUGUGUGUGUGUGUGUGUGUGUGUGUGUGUGUGUGUGUGUGUGUGUGUUGUGUAAGAUGUUUACAGUUAUUUUAUUGCACUUUUCUUCAGAUAUUUGACAUGUUGUUCAUGAUACAAGAGUCAGUUUACUUGAUUUGUGCUGUUAUUUUUGUAAACGAGUGAGUGAGACUGUGUGUCAAAUGUGUGUGUGUGUAAGAUGUUCACACUUGCACUUUUCAUAUUUCUAAAUUUUUGGGACUCAAGUAUUUGACAUUUAUGAAAUUAAAUAAAUAUUGACAUGACAAUCAAUCUGAAACCCUUAGUUUCAAAUUUGUUUUCAGAAUUUUUUCUGUUAACAGGAUUUCCUGUUUUUCAAACACAGCUCUGGUAUCGGAAUAUUAUCUGUAUUGGCCGAUAUCCAAAUUUAGGUAUCGGGAUCGGAUCGGAAGUGAAAAAAUGUGGAUCGGUGCAUCCCUA
ensembl:lncRNA